GUAUCACUGGGAAUUCCUUUCAAACACUUUACGGAUCACCUUUCUCAGGGCUCAUGUGAAGUGUUUGGGGGAACUCUCGGUGUAAC
rnacentral:pre_miRNA from 1 species